GGGGGCGUAGCUCAGAUGGCCAGAGCACCUGCCUUGCACGCAGGGGGUCACCGGUUCGAAUCCGGUCGCCUCCA
rnacentral:tRNA from 1 species